GAUGAACGCUGGCGGCGUGCCUAAUACAUGCAAGUCGAGCGAACAGAUGAGGAGCUUGCUCCUCUGACGUUAGCGGCGGACGGGUGAGUAACACGUGGAUAACCUACCUAUAAGACUGGGAUAACUUCGGGAAACCGGAGCUAAUACCGGAUAAUAUAUUGAACCGCAUGGUUCAAUAGUGAAAGACGGUUUUGCUGUCACUUAUAGAUGGAUCCGCGCCGCAUUAGCUAGUUGGUAAGGUAACGGCUUACCAAGGCAACGAUGCGUAGCCGACCUGAGAGAGUGAUCGGCCACCCUGGAACUGAGACACGGUCCAGACUCCUACGGGAGGCAGCAGUAGGGAAUCUUCCGCAAUGGGCGAAAGCCUGACGGAGCAACGCCGCGUGAGUGAUGAAGGUCUUCGGAUCGUAAAACUCUGUUAUUAGGGAAGAACAAAUGUGUAAGUAACUAUGCACGUCUUGACGGUACCUAAUCAGAAAGCCACGGCUAACUACGUG
rnacentral:rRNA from 1 species